rnacentral:rRNA from 1 species
GUGCACGCUGGCGGUAGGCCUAACCCAUGCAAGUCGCACGGCAGCACAGUAAGAGCUUGCUCUUACGGGUGGCGAGUGGCGGACGGGUGAGGAAUACAUCGGAAUCUACUUUUUCGUGGGGGAUAACGUAGGGAAACUUACGCUAAUACCGCAUACGACCUACGGGUGAAAGCAGGGGAUCUUCGGACCUUGCGCGAUUGAAUGAGCCGAUGUCGGAUUAGCUAGUUGGCGGGGUAAAGGCCCACCAAGGCGACGAUCCGUAGCUGGUCUGAGAGGAUGAUCAGCCACACUGGAACUGAGACACGGCCCAGACUCCUACGGGAGGCAGCAGUGGGGAAUAUUGGACAAUGGGCGCAAGCCUGAUCCAGCCAUACCGCGUGGGUGAAGAAGGCCUUCGGGUUGUAAAGCCCUUUUGUUGGGAAAGAAAAGCAGCAGGUUAAUACCCCGCUGUUCUGACGGUACCCAAAGAAUAAGCACCGGCUAACUUCGUG